GGAAGGGGAGAAUUUAUUAGAUAAAAAACCAAUGCCCUUCGGGGCUUCUUGGUGAUUCAUGAUAACUUUACGGAUCGCAUGGCCUUGCGCCGGCGACGGUUCAUUCAAAUUUCUGCCCUAUCAACUUUCGAUGGUAAGGUAUUGGCUUACCAUGGUUUCAACGGGUAACGGGGAAUUAGGGUUCGAUUCCGGAGAGGGAGCCUGAGAAACGGCUACCACAUCCAAGGAAGGCAGCAGGCGCGCAAAUUACCCAAUCCCGACACGGGGAGGUAGUGACAAUAAAUACUGAUACAGGGCUCUUUUGGGUCUUGUAAUUGGAAUGAGUACAAUUUAAACCUCUUAACGAGGAACAAUUGGAGGGCAAGUCUGGUGCCAGCAGCCGCGGUAAUUCCAGCUCCAAUAGCGUAUAUUAAAGUUGUUGCAGUUAAAAAGCUCGUAGUUGAAACUUGGGUCUGGCUGGCAGGUCCGCCUCACCGCGUGUACUUGUCCGGCCGGGCCUUCCUUCUGGAGAACCUCAUGCCCUUCAUUGGGCGUGUUGGGGACCAGGACUUUUAC
rnacentral:rRNA from 1 species